rnacentral:rRNA from 1 species
GACGAACCGUGCGAACGUUGUUCGGAAUCACUGGGCUUAAAGGGCGCGUAGGCGGCUUGCCAAGUCCGGGGUGAAAGCCUCCAGCUUAACUGGAGAAGUGCCUUGGAUACUGGCGAGCUCGAGCGAGGUAGGGGCAGUUGGAACUUCCGGUGGAGCGGUGAAAUGCGUUGAUAUCGGAAGGAACGCCGGUGGCGAAAGCGAACUGCUGGACCUCUUCUGACGCUGAGGCGCGAAAGCCAGGGGAGAGAACGGG